rnacentral:rRNA from 1 species
UACGGGGGGAGCAAGUGUUGUUCGGAUUUACUGGGCGUAAAGGGCGCGUAGGCGGCCACCGCAAGUCGACUGUGAAAUCUCCGGGCUUAACCCGGAAAGGUCAGCCGAUACUGCGGGGCUAGAGUGCAGAAGGGGCAACUGGAAUUCUCGGUGUAGCGGUGAAAUGCGUAGAUAUCGAGAGGAACACCUGCGGCGAAGGCGGCCAACUGGACGAAUACUGACGCUGAGACUCGAAAGCGUGGGGAGCAAACAGG